rnacentral:rRNA from 1 species
GAUGCUAAUACCGGAUAACAACACUAGACGCAUGUCUAGAGUUUGAAAGAUGGUUCUGCUAUCACUCUUGGAUGGACCUGCGGUGCAUUAGCUAGUUGGUAAGGUAACGGCUUACCAAGGCAAUGAUGCAUAGCCGAGUUGAGAGACUGAUCGGCCACAUUGGGACUGAGACACGGCCCAAACUCCUACGGGAGGCAGCAGUAGGGAAUCUUCCACAAUGGACGAAAGUCUGAUGGAGCAACGCCGCGUGAGUGAAGAAGGGUUUCGGCUCGUAAAGCUCUGUUGGUAGUGAAGAAAGAUAGAGGUAGUAACUGGCCUUUAUUUGACGGUAAUUACUUAGAAAGUCACGGCUAACUACGUGCCAGCAGCCGCGGUAAUACGUAGGUGGCAAGCGCUGUCCGGAUUUAUUGGGCGUAAAGCGAGUGCAGGCGGUUCAAUAAGUCUGAUGUGAAAGCCUUCGGCUCAACCGGAGAAUUGCAUCAGAAACUGUUGAACUUGAGUGCAGAAGAGGAGAGUGGAACUCCAUGUGUAGCGGUGGAAUGCGUAGAUAUAUGGAAGAACACCAGUGGCGAAGGCGGCUCUCUGGUCUGCAACUGACGCUGAGGCUCGAAAGCAUGGGUAGCGAACAGGAUUAGAUACCCUGGUGGUCCAUGCCGUAAACGA